GGGACCCGCACAAGCAGCGGAGCGUGUGGUUUAAUUCGAUGCUACACGAAGAACCUUACCAGGGUUUGACAUGUAAGUGGUAGUGAUCUGAAAAGUGAACGACCCUUCGGGGAGCUUACACAGGUGCUGCAUGGCUGUCGUCAGCUCGUGUCGUGAGAUGUUCGGUUAAGUCCGCUAACGAGCGCAACCCUCACUGUGUGUUAUACGUGUCACACGGGACUGCCGGUUUUAAGCCGGAGGAAGGCGAGGAUGACGUCAAGUCAGCAUGGCCUUUAUAUCCUGGGCUACACACACGCUACAAUGGUCUGUACAACAGGUUGCCAAACCGCGAGGUGGAGCCAAUCCAUAAAGUUGGUCUCAGUUCAGAUUGUAGGCUGCAACCCGCCUGCAUGAAGAUGGAGUUGCUAGUAACCGCAGGUCAGCUAUACUGCGGUGAAUACGUUCCCGGGGCUU
rnacentral:rRNA from 1 species